AUUGAACGCUGGCGGCAGGCCUAACACAUGCAAGUCGAGCGAACCUAGCUUGCUAGGUGAGCGGCGAACGGGUGAGUAACACGUAGGAAUCUGCCCGAUAGUGGGGGACAACGUUUCAAAAGGGACGCUAAUACCGCAUACGCCCUAAGGGGGAAAGCAGGGGAUCUUCGGACCUUGCGCUAUCGGAUGAGCCUGCGUCGGAUUAGCUAGUUGGCGGGGUAAAGGCCCACCAAGGCGACGAUCCGUAGCUGGUCUGAGAGGGUGAUCAGCCACACCGGAACUGAGACACGGUCCGGACUCCUACGGGAGGCAGCAGUGGGGAAUAUUGGACAAUGGGGGCAACCCUGAUCCAGCCAUGCCGCGUGUGUGAAGAAGGCCUUCGGGUUGUAAAGCACUUUAAGCGGGGAGGAAAGUCCGCUGGCUAAUAUCCAGCGGAAUUGACGUUACCCGCAGAAUAAGCACCGGCUAACUCCGUGCCAGCAGCCGCGGUAACAC
rnacentral:rRNA from 1 species